AAAUAAUUAAAGGGCGAACUCGUGAGGUUAAUGAAAUAAACGUUAUCAAUGCUUUACUUGAAUGUAAUCCUGAAGCCACCGAGGCGACGAAUGACUCCCUGAGAGAAUUAAUUAGUAUCAAAAUUGCCAAUCCAAAACCAAAUGAGAUCUCCCCCAGCAAUUUUCCUACAACGAGCAAUUCUCUAUUGUCUAGCCACGUAGAACUAACUAAUUAUGACCCUAAGCAUGUUUCGCCUGUAAAAACCUCCCACGGUGACCAACAUAAAAAAGUUGAUUCGAAUGCAAAGAAAUCGACAAAUAUUAUCGACCACAAUUUACCACUUCUUGAUAAUAAACGAUUUAACCCG